UACAGAGGUGCCGAGCGUUAGGCGGAAUUACUGGGCGUAAAGCGUGCGCAGGCGGCUUCUCAAGUCAGGGGUGAAAGCCCAGAGCUCAACUCUGGAAUUGCCUUUGAGACUGAGGGGCUUGAGUACGGGAGAGGUGAGUGGAAUUCCCAGUGUAGAGGUGAAAUUCGUAGAUAUUGGGAAGAACACCAGUGGCGAAGGCGGCUCACUGGACCGUAACUGACGCUCAUGCACGACAGCGUGGGGAUCAAACAGG
rnacentral:rRNA from 1 species